ACAAAAUCAAGGUGAAGAAAAACAAACAGUAUAAAAUUAUGGUACGGUUUGGUUUGGUACGAUUAGUCUAUCCAAAGACAAUAUAAACUUCAAGCUGAGUGACGUCACACAACAGAGCAUAACAUA